ACAAAAACAUCUUUUCUUGUUAGUUUUUGAAGUAUGGCCUGCCCACUGACUGUUUGUUGAAGGGCCGCGGUAUUUUGACCGUGCAAAGGUAGCAUAAUCAUUAGUUCUUUAAUUGUGAUCUGGUAUGAAUGGCUUGACGAGACGUGUACUGUCUUAAGUAUUGAAUAUUUAAUUGAAUUUGGUCUUUGAGUUAAAAUUCUUAAAUGUUUUUAUGGGACGAGAAGACCCUAUAGAGUUUGACAUCUUAUUUGCUUUCUGUUAUUCUGUUUGUUUUGUUUUAUUAAGUGAUUUAGAUGUUUUGUUGGGGUGAUGGGAGGAAUUUAUUUAACUCCUCUUUAUUUGGUAUAUUUAUAUAUAAGUGUUUGAUCCAUUUAUUUUGAUUAUAAGAUUAAAUUACCUUAGGGAUAACAGCGUUAUCUUCCUUGAGAGUUCUUAUUGGCGGGGAGGUUUGCGACCUCGAUGUUGGAUUAAGGUUAAUUUUUGGUGUAGGAGCUAAAAGUGAUUGGGUCUGUUCGACCUUUAAAAUCUUACGUGAUCUGAGUUC
rnacentral:rRNA from 1 species